rnacentral:rRNA from 1 species
UGGGGGAUAUUGCACAAUGGGCGAAAGCCUGAUGCAGCGACGCCGCGUGGGGGAUGAAGGCUUUCGGGUUGUAAACCUCUUUCGCUAUCGAACAAGGCCCGCUUAGGGUGGGUUGAGGGUAGGUGGAGAAGAAGCGCCGGCUAACUACGUGCCAGCAGCCGCGGUAAUACGUAGGGCGCGAGCGUUGUCCGGAAUUAUUGGGCGUGAAGGGCUUGUAGGCGGCUUGUUGCGCCUGCUGUGAAAACGCGGGGCUUAACUUCGCGCGUGCAGUGGGUACGGGCAGGCUUGAGUGUGGUAGGGGUGACUGGAAUUCCAGGUGUAGCGGUGGAAUGCGCAGAUAUCUGGAGGAACACCGAUGGCGAAGGCAGGUCACUGGGCCAUUACUGACGCUGAGGAGAGAAAGCAUGGGUAGCGAACAGG